rnacentral:rRNA from 1 species
CCCGCUGAACUUAAGCAUAUCAGUAAGCGGAGGAAAAGAAACUAACCAGGAUUCCCUUAGUAACGGCGAGUGAACCGGGAAGAGCUCAAAUUUGAAAUCUGGCGUCUUUUGGCGUCCGAAUUGUAUUUGAUAGAGCGUCCAUGGGAUAGUCGUCUCCACCCAAGUCCUUUGGAAAAAGGCAGCAUAGAGGGUGAAACUCCCGUCUAGGUGGAGAAGUAUCAGACUAGCCAAUAUCAUGGAAGCCCUAAGAGUCGGAUUGUUUGGGAAUGCAAUCCUAAAUGGGUGGUACAUUCCAUCUAAAGCUAAAUAAUGGUAAGAGACCGAUAGCAAACAAGUACCGUGAGGGAAAGAUGAAAAGAACUCUGAAGAGAGAGUUAAAAGUACGUGAAAUUAUUAAAAGGGAAACGAUUGAAACCAGGUCUGGAACGGAACAGGCAACUGGCACUCUCUCGAUCCGUUCGAUCGAGCGCCAGCCUAGCUGUAUCGUGCCGAGUCGACCCCUCUUGGCCCUCCAUGAAAAGGCUCUUGGAAAGGUGGCACUGGUCGUAACCCGACAAGUUGCUUUACAGUCCAGGAGAGAUCAUGGAGCCCUUCCGCCGAGAGGAUUGCUUCCUUUGCGAAGCCAGGACCCUUAACCGGGACCAGGUCGACGGAAUGGUUUUAACCGACCCGUCUUGAAACACGG